GGUACUGUGGCAUUGAUUUAGUAACCAAGUGUGUUACAAAAGGGGGGAGAGUACAAAAAGGAAAACAAAUAUUUUUGUUAAAAAUGGGACCAAAAAAAUUAAAAAAUUUAAAAGAAGCAAUACGUCCUUGAAGAGUUCAAAGCAACAAAAAUAUUAAUGAACGGAGUUCGACUCUCCAGUUCAAGCUCUAAGUGUUAGAGCACGAAUGUCCUAUGCAAAGAUAAAUAUUUCCCCUGCCCAUAAAUAUAAGUAAUUCUUUGAAUUCUAGAGUCAUAUUUCUGUACAGAUAACAAAAUACAAACCUUUCAUUUUCCCUAUAAUCCCCCUUCAUAAUUAUGUUAGGAGAAACUUUACAAGUAGGUCAAACUACAUGUGCACAGCCCAUUUCUUCACAAACAAUAACAAAACCCAAAAUCUCAUGAAGUCUAUACAAAAUCAAGCCAAAAGCCAGAAAUCUUUUUGUCUCUUGGUGGUGAUAAGAUAUCCACCCAAUUUCUUGCUCUUCUUCCUUACAGCAAUGGCCAUGCAACUAGCAUUCUGAAUGCAGUACUCCACCACUCCACCGCCACCCGCCACCCCAUUCCCCGCCCACAUCAUCACAAGCCGCCAUGUUACCGAACGCUUCUUCUGCCCGAGAACCAGCAGCGCCGCCUCUUGCUUCUUGGCGGC
rnacentral:lncRNA from 1 species